CAUGCUACAAUGGCCGGUACAACGGGGUGCGACACGGUGACGUGGGGCGGAUCCCUGAAAACCGGUCUCAGUUCGGAUCGCAGUCUGCAACUCGACUGCGUGAAGGUGGAGUCGCUAGUAAUCGCGGAUCAGCAACGCCGCGGUGAAUGCGUUCCCGGGCCUUGUACACACCGCCCGUCAAGCCAUGAAAGCCGGGGGUACCUGAAGUCCGUAACCGUAAGGAGCGGCCUAGGGUAAAACUGGUGAUUGGGGCUAAGUCGUAACAAGGUACC
rnacentral:rRNA from 1 species